CCCUGUAUCGAAUAUGACUCUGGCUGUCUGGUUGCCAGGUCAUGAAACUGCAGGAAGAAUAAACUGAAUCUUUCCCGUGUUUGCAGGAAAACUUGUUCCUGUUGAACCCUGUACGUUUCAGACA
ensembl:snoRNA SNORA71 Small nucleolar RNA SNORA71